rnacentral:lncRNA from 1 species
UAAUGCCAGUAAAAUAAUUGUAAUCCAACAGCAUUGCCCAGCAGGGAAGCWGCUUAUUUUCAAAACACAGCAAGAGUGAGAAAACUUACAACUCUCUUGAAUUGUGAAAAAUGGGCAUUUUGCUUUCUCCAGACAAGAUGAUUCAGUUUUUAGUGGCCGUAGCUGCAGUUUGUACUUUGGGCUUGAAUUACUGUGUCCUUUUUUUUCCCCCCUCUUUUUUUCACUGGAAGGACUGAAUUGGUUUUAGUAUCAUGUCCUAAAGGUAGGACCAGUUUUGAUCUCAGUCAUGGCUAUGAUGCAUCUCUGUGCAUCAUUGCAAGGUAAAGAUUAACCCUUUCUAGCCCUCUUUGGUCAUUUGAUGAGCACUGAACUGCUUUGAAAGGAGUUCUGUCCAGAAAAGCAGCCAGUGGACUCUCAAUUUAAACCUUUGAAAUGCCCAAAAAUAAUCCUGUGAAAAUAUAUUUACUUUUAUUUUUCAGAARACUCGAUAUGGCAGAAAUCUCAGGCUUCAUUUGUGGCUAUAUUUCAUGUGUGUUUUGCUUGGGAAGUAGAUUUCCUUAGCUGUAUAAAAAUGGGGCCUGGCAGUAUCUAGCCAUCAUCCUGCUUUGAGAUUCAGGCCUUGACUUUGAGCUGGAGCGACCCUUCGAGUAAAGGGGAAGUGACUGCCUGCAUGUCCUCACCUGAGCAAGAUUCCCAUCAGCAGCUGGUGACUUUGCAAUUCAUUAUGUAUCAUAAGCACAACAAAAGACAAUCCAGUACAGUCRCACUUGAAGUGGAACCAUUAUUUAUGGAUGAAGAGAGUGCCUAG